CCUACGGGUGGCAGCAGUGGGGAAUAUUGGACAAUGGGCGCAAGCCUGAUCCAGCAAUUCCGCGUGGGUGAAGAAGGUCUUCGGAUUGUAAAGCCCUUUCGACAGGGACGAUGAUGACGGUACCUGUAGAAGAAGCCCCGGCUAACUUCGUGCCAGCAGCCGCGGUAAUACGAAGGGGGCUAGCGUUGCUCGGAAUUACUGGGCGUAAAGGGCGCGUAGGCGGCUCGGUCAGUCAGGCGUGAAAUUCCUGGGCUUAACCUGGGGGCUGCGUUUGAUACUGCUGGGCUUGAGGAUGGAAGAGGGUCGUGGAAUUCCCAGUGUAGAGGUGAAAUUCGUAGAUAUUGGGAAGAACACCGGUGGCGAAGGCGGCGACCUGGUCCAUUACUGACGCUGAGGCGCGACAGCGUGGGGAGCAAACAGGAUUAGAUACCCUUGUAGUC
rnacentral:rRNA from 1 species